UACGGAGGGUGCAAGCGUUAUCCGGAAUCACUGGGUUUAAAGGGUGCGUAGGCGGCUUAAUAAGUCAGAGGUGAAAGGCUGUGGCUCAACCAUGGGAUUGCCUUAGAUACUGUUAGGCUUGAAUCAGGCUGAGGUUGGCAGAAUGUGGCAUGUAGCGGUGAAAUGCAUAGAUAUGCCAUAGAAUACGGAUUGCGAAGGCAGCUGACCGGCCCUUGAUUGACGCUGAGGCACGAAAGCGUGGGGAGCGAACAGG
rnacentral:rRNA from 1 species